UUUGAGUGUUUUAUGAAGUGCAGGUCAUUCUUGGCUCAAUCAAUAUGCCAGGGAUGUCUAUAUUAUAAUUAUAAUCAUACCUCCAGUUUCUCACCCAAAACAUUUUUUUGUAUGGUUUAGAUUGUGCAUAUAACUACCAAAAUUAUUUGUCUUUUCUGUAGAUUUAUGUUGAUAUAUGAUAUAUACCCUUUGCCUUUAUGUUGCAGUAGAUGCUAUAAUUUUGGCCAAUGUUUCUUUGUAUCAGUUAAUGGUGUGUGUGGAUCUAUCAGAUAUUAGGCAUGAACAUUGCAAUGUUUAACAUGAAAUCUGCAUAUGGAAGAAGAGGAAGCAUUCCCCAAUUUGCCAACACCUUCUACUUAAUUGCAUGCUACUUUCUUCACUCUUAAGUAUUCAAGCUUCUUUAGUGGCUAUAUAAAGGAAAUGGCAAAU